UAUCGUGGCGCUAGUAGUCAAAAACCAAACGCAACAGCAGAAGAACUUAGUUUUCUUACCCAUGCCGCCAUGCUUGCUGUUAACUUGUGCCAUGAAGUCAACUCUAAUUAAGAAGUGUUAUUGAGCAACUUUAACGUUAAAUUGAAUAUUUAGCAGCAAAGAAAUGAUUCCAUAGGCAUUAGGCGGCAGUUCUACGCACGUAUCCAAAGAUUCAGUAAUGCUUGCUACGGAAACACGUGAACCCCCAGAAAGAGGAAAACCAUAAGAGGCUGCUGAGCAUGCCUUCAAAGUUAUGAGCUUAUAAUACCACAGUAGGAUCUCUUCUAAAGUGCAAAUGAGUGCAAUUAUGUGAUGUGACAUGAAACGUUUGGUGCAAUAUUGAGUCUGCCUGUGAAGAGGUCGCAAAAUUGGAAAAAAAUCCAAAUUGUCAUUAUUGUGGAAUCCUUGACUGGCUUGACUAUGGGAGAUAAGGAUGGCCGACGUGUUUAGGUGGACGGUGAGGCAACUAAGUAUGAUCCAACUGGGGGUAAGGCGGCGGUAACUUGUCAUAGAUUUCUCCAGUUUCGUAUAGACUAGGAUAUAAGGAUGCAGGAGGGUCGUAAGUUGGAGUCUUUGGAGGAGUGAAGGGCGUUUGUGGAUGAACGGGGAAAUGGUUGGCCGGUUGUUGGUUGUAA